rnacentral:lncRNA from 1 species
ACCUUAGCCUUAAACAGGAUGUGAACCCUUGUCGUGAAAUUCUUCACCUUGAGUUGGAAUGAGCUUAACUGUAUUCGAUGAAAAGGUUCAAGUUUGGGGUUAUAUGGGGGAAAAUUGAAAAGCAAUUGUGAAGCAUUGAGCUCAAAUGUUGUGAAAAGAAAAAUUCAUGAGAAAAAGAAAAGAAAAGAAGAAAAGCAUGAAGAGGAGCUCAAUGAAAAAGAAAAGAGGAAAAAGUUGGGAAUGAGUGAGAUUGGUGAGGAAGAGAGUUGUGCUUAAAUUGUUAAAUAUUUUGAUAGCUCUCUUAACUCAAGGACUUUGUAUUCCGGAAAAACCAAUUUUUCUUGUUAGCCCAACCUCAUUACAAGCCUUGGAAAAGUCCUUUUGAUGACAUUU